AACGAACGCUGGCGGCAUGCCUAACACAUGCAAGUCGAACGAGACCUUCGGGUCUAGUGGCGCACGGGCGCGUAACGCGUGGGAACCUGCCUUUAGGUUCGGAAUAACUCAGAGAAAUUUGAGCUAAUACCGGAUGAUGUCUUCGGACCAAAGAUUUAUCGCCUUUAGAUGGGCCCGCGUUGGAUUAGCUAGUUGGUGGGGUAAAGGCCUACCAAGGCGACGAUCCAUAGCUGGUCUGAGAGGAUGAUCAGCCACACUGGGACUGAGACACGGCCCAGACUCCUACGGGAGGCAGCAGGGGGGAAUAUUGGACAAUGGGCGAAAGCCUGAUCCAGCAAUGCCGGGUGAGUGAUGAAGGCCUUGGGGUUGUAAAGCUCUUUUACCCGGGAUGAUAAUGACAGUAUCGGGAGAAUAAGCCCCGGCUAACUCCGU
rnacentral:rRNA from 1 species